CGAACCGAGGCGGGGUGCAUCGAUCUGCAACGACAGAAGCUACGGUACGCGCGUCCGAACACUUUCCUCCUCUACUUCUUCCAUUUGUGGAAUCCCUGGCUUGAUCUCCUCCUCGCCUUCUGUUUCGAGGCGGCUCCCCGACGGCCAAGACACUGCCAUAGUGGUGCAUCAUGUCGUCUUCAUCGCCGGCAAGAAGCAACCCCACGAGGUGUAGUCACGGUGGUCUACCACUCCGCCGUCUUCCGCAACCCAUCCCCACUUCCGUGGCAAGGUGAGACAAACGACCCCUCCCCCGUCCCCCGUCCCCGCUAAUGGCCGUAAGUCAGCGGUUUGCUGUAGUUUAGGGCUAGCUACGUGAGCGUGUACUGCGAGAACGUUAGCUUUAGGAGAAGAGAGAGGGAUUUGAGACAACAGAUCGAGUGUUGCCGUGUGCAGUGUUGGGUAUCUUUUGCACUUGCUCCAUCAGCAUACUGCUACUAUUUCAUAUCAUUGAUUGAUGCAUUGUUUUUUCAUAAUUGAAUUGGCGAAUGAUGAAAAGGUGUAAUGUUCAGGGAUUUUUGCUAGAUGAUUUGUUGAUCCAGUUUAAUUUUAGUAGGCAUCUGGGUACUGUUUAUGAAUUGAUAGCGCACCUUGCUUAUAUCCUACAGUAUUAUUUUUACUUUUCUCAAACAAUCUUUUCUGGAUUUCAUACUAACAAGUGGCUUGGUUUGUGUUAUCCAGUCCUAAGUUUUGCCAUCCUUUCGUAGUGAUAGCUGUGUUGGGCCGGGGUGCAACGGAUGCAUUCAACACGUUUCAAGUGACUUGUAUGUAGAUAUAGAGCCAGUGCAAGUCGAUUAUGGCAGGAAAUCAAAGUCAGUUUCCUCAUUUAUCCAUCACCGUAGGACUAUUAUGACUACUGCAUUUUAUUUUAGUUUGGAGAUAAGUCAUGUUGUCAAAAUUACUUCUUAUUUGCAACUGAUUGGUGUUGCACAGAAUAGGCAUGCCCCGUUGCAACUCACGGGUAUUGUCCUUCUGCUUUUGCAUGCUACUAUAUAUUGCUUUUGGUUUUAGUUAAGCUAACAUCACCAAUCUUUUAAUGAUUGCUGGGCUUGGCCUUGUGCACAAGUUAUGGCCCAGUUUUUUUACUUAGUAAUUUUGGUUUCUUAACGUUUUUAGGAGACACAUUUAUUCCAGCUGCACUUUAUGGAAAUAUAAUAAACUAAAUAGCAGACAGUGCUACGAUGUCAAUAGUCAUCUGGUUAUGAAGCUGUCAUUUUAAUCAUGAAAUAGUCAAUGUUCGAUCUUUCUUGCAAUUUCUGGAAACAAUUUUGUGUCUUACCACCCAAUAUUGAAUUUGUGCUAACUAUACACAAACUGGGCUGAACUGGGAUCAUGGUAUUUAACCAUGAUAAGCUAAAGGUAGUUUAAACAUGUUUAAUAAAUUCACUUUUGCUUCUUCUUGUUGUGAUAUAUUGUACUAUUAUAUGGUCAGCUAGAAGAUGAAAACUAUAUUUGUUGGAGUUGAGCUUAAACUAAUUUCUUCAUGCUGUUGAUGUAUUUUGUGGUUUCAUGCACUUCCGUUCGUGAACUUGGAGACAACUUGGAGACUAUGCUUAUUGGAGAGGCUGCUUCUUGGGAGUGCAAAGUAAGCAGAACAACCCACACAAGUACUGCAAUCAAAUAGGAGUAGUUGCUAGAAGUAUACUUUGUUGAAAGCUCAUCGAUGUGCCAAUUUUUGAUAGUCAAGGAAAUCCUGGACACUUACAAUCAAGUUGGGCAUACAUGUCAACUCUUUUUUGAGGGACGACAUAUAUAUCAAUUAUGUGAGGAAGUGUUUAAGCACUUUGGGGCUGGUGGCUAGUUAAAUUCUGAUAAUGCAUUCACAGAAGAGCAAGAAGUUAAACUACAUCAGAGAUUGGAGAAACUUUACUUAUCCACUCGUGCUGCCAAACAUUUUUCAAAGGGACGUUGUUCGGGGUGUGGAGGGCUACAUAGUGACAGUACCUAAGCAAGUGGAAACAGGAACACAUACAAGAUAAUCAUUGCUUUAUCAGAAACAUCUUGAGCAAGACAGAGAACUGUGGAUCCUGUGUGAACUUGAAGAUUGGUGACAAUUGAAGGGAGCAGUGAGACCCAUUAGAAGAUGGUCAAUGUACUUUCAGGGAGCAGUGAGACAUUUGAAGUUUUUUGGCACACAUGAAAGCUGGGUAGAUGUCGCGGCUGGGGUGUUCUCUUCUCCAUGCGGUGUUAGUCUCUGUUACGGAUGAGUCGAGAACGGCCCACCAGCCUGCACUGCACCUCAAUUGGAGCUGUCGAGAGCAUCUCAGAUCAUGCAUCCCGUCUGGGUGUCCAGGAGCGAAAGUCGGAUGUCAAUGCAUUCAAUGUAUUUGAAACAAUGGAUGUAAGACAGAAUCAAUUUGUGGAUAUUUCAACAAUGGAUGUAAGACAGAA